CGCACCUUGCACUCCUUGGUAUUCCGAGGAGUAUGCCUGUUUGAGUGUCAUGAAACUAUCAACUUCAUAGUUUUAUUACUGUGAAGCUUGGACUUGGAAGCUGCUGGCUUUGCUCAGCCCUUCUUAAAUGUAUUAGCUGCUUGUCCGUGGGUUGGCUCAGAGUGUGAUAAUUAUCUUCACUUGGUGGCUGCCUGCAAGGAUGCGGCUUCUAAUCGUCUUCGGACAAUCUCUUAAGAUCUGACCUCAAAUCAGGUAGGACUACCCGCUGAACUUAA
rnacentral:misc_RNA from 1 species